AGAGUUUGAUCAUGGCUCAGAUUGAACGCCGGCGGCAUGCCUUACACAUGCAAGUCGAACGGUAACAGGUUAAGCUGACGAGUGACGAACGGGUGAGUAAUAUAUCGGAACGUGCCCAGUCGUGGGGGAUAACUGCUCGAAAGAGCAGCUAAUACCGCAUACGACCUGAGGGUGAAAGCGGGGGAUCGCAAGACCUCGCGCGAUUGGAGCGGCCGAUAUCAGAUUAGGUAGUUGGUGGGGUAAAGGCCC
rnacentral:rRNA from 1 species